rnacentral:rRNA from 1 species
GGCGAACGGCUGAGUAACACGUGGGCAACCUGCCCUUUGCACUGGGAUAGCCUCGGGAAACCGAGGUUAAUACCGGAUACUCCAUAUUUGUCGCAUGGCGAAUAUGGGAAAGCUCCGGCGGCAAAGGAUGGGCCCGCGGCCUGUUAGCUAGUUGGUGGGGUAGUGGCCUACCAAGGCAAUGAUGGGUAGCCGGGUUGAGAGACCGACCGGCCAGAUUGGGACUGAGACACGGCCCAGACUCCUACGGGAGGCAGCAGGA